UCAGUCAUCACCUCCACACCAGCAAGAACACACCAGGAACAACAUGAGAGUGUAAGAUACGACCUGUCAUCGUCAGAUUCUGCCAAAGAAGGAAGAGAAAUGAAAUAAUGUUAAAGAAGGACGAACUCAAGAAAACACAGGAAAGUUUGUUUAUGAGGACUUGACAGCACUGAGGAACGCUAAGCUUAACAUUGCAAAAGAACAGGAAAAUGUGAAGAACAUGACAACUAGAGAUGAAAAGAUGGUUGCACGGAUGAAGGACAGACCAGAUAGACCUUUGUAUAUUGACACGCCUGAUUACCUGUUCAAGAUUGGUACCACAUAUCCUGACUGGAAGAGACUGAAAGUAUGUAUAUGGAUCAGCUUAUGGGUGUUCAAGAAUAAGACAGGAAUGGGGCACAAUGUGACAAAAAAGCAGAAUACCUCUUCCAGAGCUGAUAGAAAAUGUCUAUCAAUAUUUGUGAUUAAUGUAUGUGGUUUGAAGGAUAAAUUGCUAUCAUUAGAAUUAUUUCUAUAGAAAUGAGUGUAAGAAAUAUGAUUUUUUGUGCAUGAGAGAAACGCGUUGUGAUGAUGUAGACAUGAAUAUGAUCAAAUCUGAUAUGGAUAUCCCAGGUUUUGAUGUUAUUUAAGAUAGACACACUGUGAGUAGAUAUAAAACGGGUGGAUUACUCAUAGCAAUUAAGACUUGUAUUUUUAAUGGAAGGUUUUGUCUUGCAGUUCUGAUAUGUUCAUCUCUGUUCAGGUGGAUAAAAGAUUACUUUGUUUACCUAAACGUCUUAUCUUAACAUCAGUUUAUAUUCCGCCAAGUAAUUCAAGGUAUGGUAAUAUUGAACAUUUUAUGAUGUAGACAACUUUCUGCUAGACUUUUCAGAAGAAUGUUGACAUUUAC